GCCUACGGGACGCAGCAGUCGAGAAUCAUUCACAAUGGGGGAAACCCUGAUGGUGCGACGCCGCGCGGGGGAAUGAAGGUCUUCGGAUUGUAAACCCCUGUCAUGUGGGAGCAAAUUAAAAAGAUAGUACCACAAGAGGAAGAGACGGCUAACUCUGUGCCAGCAGCCGCGGUAAUACAGAGGUCUCAAGCGUUGUUCGGAAUCACUGGGCGUAAAGCGUGCGUAGGCUGUUUCGUAAGUCGUGUGUGAAAGGCGCGGGCUCAACCCGCGGACGGCACAUGAUAAUGCGAGACUAGAGGAAUGGG
rnacentral:rRNA from 1 species